rnacentral:rRNA from 1 species
AUUGAACGCUGGCGGCAGGCCUAACACAUGCAAGUCGAACGAGUGGCGGACGGGUGAGUAAUGUCUGGGAAACUGCCUGACGGACGGGGAUAACUACUGGAACCGGUAGCUAAUACCGCAUACCAUCGGAUGUGCCCUGAUGGCAUUAGCUAGUGGGUGGGGUAACGGCUCACCUAGGCGACGAUCCCUAGCUGGUCUGAGAGGAUGACCAGCCACACUGGAACUGAGACACGGUCCAGACUCCUACGGGAGGCAGCAGUGGGGAAUAUUGCACAAUGGGCGCAAGCCUGAUGCAGCCAUGCCGCGUGUGUGAAGAAGGCCUUCGGGUUGUAAAGUACUUUCAGCGGGGAGGCGUUACCCGCAGAAAAAGCACCGGCUAACUCCGUGCCAGCAGCCGCGGUAAUAC